UACGUAGGGGGCAAGCGUUGUCCGGAUUUAUUGGGCGUAAAGAGCUCGUAGGUGGUUCGGUAAGUCGGAUGUGAAAUCUCCAGGCUCAACCUGGAGGGGUCAUUCGAUACUGCCGUGACUAGAGGUCGGUAGGGGAGUGUGGAAUUCCUGGUGUAGCGGUGAAAUGCGCAGAUAUCAGGAGGAACACCCAUGGCGAAGGCAGCACUCUGGGCUGGAAUUGACGCUGAGGAGCGAAAGCAUGGGUAGCGAACAGG
rnacentral:rRNA from 1 species